rnacentral:rRNA from 1 species
UACAGAGGUCUCAAGCGUUGUUCGGAUUCAUUGGGCGUAAAGGGUGCGUAGGCGGCGCGGUAAGUCGGGUGUGAAAUCUUGGAGCUUAACUCCGAAACUGCAUUCGAUACUGCCGUGCUUGAGGACUGGAGAGGAGACUGGAAUUUACGGUGUAGCGGUGAAAUGCGCAGAUAUCGGGAAGAACACCCGUGGCGAAGGCGGCUCUCUGGGACGGUACUGACGCUGAGACGCGAAAAGCGUGGGGAGCGAACAGG